rnacentral:rRNA from 1 species
CCUACGGGUGGCUGCAGUGGGGAAUAUUGGGCAAUGGGCGCAAGCCUGACCCAGCAAAGCCGCGUGAAGGAUGAAGGCUCUCCGGUUGUUAACUUCUUUUAUACUGGAAUACCGCGCCUUCCGUUUAGCCCUUUGCAUUAUCCGCAUUCAUCAGGACCGGCUCAUUCCGUCCCAGCAGCCGCCGUAAUACGGAAGGUCCGGGCGUUAUCCGGAUUUAUUGGGUUUAAAGGGAGCGUAGGCCGCCUGUUAAGCGUGCUGUGAAAGGUCCGGGCUCAACCCUGGAAUUGCAGGGGAAACUGGCGGGCGUGAGUGCGCAGAGGGCAGGCGGAAUUCGUGGUGUAGCGGUGAAAUGCUUAGAUAUGACGAAGAACCCCGAUUGCGAAGGCAGGUGGCUGCAGCGGAACUGACGCUGAUGCUCGAAAGCGCGGGUAUCGAACAGGAUUAGAUACCCGUGUAGUC